GGUGAGAUGGCCGAGCGGUCUAAGGCGCUGUGUUCAGGUUGGAUCCCCAACUACAACGAUCUCGCAGUCUCGUAAGAGGCCUGGGUUCGAAUCCCAGUCUCAUCA